GGGUUGUGAGGUUAAGCGACUAAGCGUACACGGUGGAUGCCCUGGCAGUCAGAGGCGAUGAAGGACGUGCUAAUCUGCGAUAAGCGUCGGUAAGGUGAUAUGAACCGUUAUAACCGGCGAUUUCCGAAUGGGGAAACCCAGUGUGAUUCGUCACACUAUCAUUAACUGAAUCCAUAGGUUAAUGAGGCGAACCGGGGGAACUGAAACAUCUAAGUACCCCGAGGAAAAGAAAUCAACCGAGAUUCCCCCAGUAGCGGCGAGCGAACGGGGAGCAGCCCAGAGCCUGAAUCAGUGUGUGUGUUAGUGGAAGCGUCUGGAAAGGCGUGCGAUACAGGGUGACAGCCCCGUACACAAAAAUGCACAUAUUGUGAGCUCGAUGAGUAGGGCGGGACACGUGGUAUCCUGUCUGAAUAUGGGGGGACCAUCCUCCAAGGCUAAAUACUCCUGACUGACCGAUAGUGAACCAGUACCGUGAGGGAAAGGCGAAAAGAACCCCGGCGAGGGGAGUGAAAAAGAACCUGAAACCGUGUACGUACAAGCAGUGGGAGCACAGAGCAAUCUGUGUGACUGCGUACCUUUUGUAUAAUGGGUCAGCGACUUAUAUUCUGUAGCAAGGUUAACCGAAUAGGGGAGCCGAAGGGAAACCGAGUCUUAACUGGGCGUUAAGUUGCAGGGUAUAGACCCGAAACCCGGUGAUCUAGCCAUGGGCAGGUUGAAGGUUGGGUAACACUAACUGGAGGACCGAACCGACUAAUGUUGAAAAAUUAGCGGAUGACUUGUGGCUGGGGGUGAAAGGCCAAUCAAACCGGGAGAUAGCUGGUUCUCCCCGAAAGCUAUUUAGGUAGCGCCUCGUGAAUUCAUCUCCGGGGGUAGAGCACUGUUUCGGCAAGGGGGUCAUCCCGACUUACCAACCCGAUGCAAACUGCGAAUACCGGAGAAUGUUAUCACGGGAGACACACGGCGGGUGCUAACGUCCGUCGUGAAGAGGGAAACAACCCAGACCGCCAGCUAAGGUCCCAAAGUCAUGGUUAAGUGGGAAACGAUGUGGGAAGGCCCAGACAGCCAGGAUGUUGGCUUAGAAGCAGCCAUCAUUUAAAGAAAGCGUAAUAGCUCACUGGUCGAGUCGGCCUGCGCGGAAGAUGUAACGGGGCUAAACCAUGCACCGAAGCUGCGGCAGCGACACUAUGUGUUGUUGGGUAGGGGAGCGUUCUGUAAGCCUGUGAAGGUGUACUGUGAGGUAUGCUGGAGGUAUCAGAAGUGCGAAUGCUGACAUAAGUAACGAUAAAGCGGGUGAAAAGCCCGCUCGCCGGAAGACCAAGGGUUCCUGUCCAACGUUAAUCGGGGCAGGGUGAGUCGACCCCUAAGGCGAGGCCGAAAGGCGUAGUCGAUGGGAAACAGGUUAAUAUUCCUGUACUUGGUGUUACUGCGAAGGGGGGACGGAGAAGGCUAUGUUGGCCGGGCGACGGUUGUCCCGGUUUAAGCGUGUAGGCUGGUUUUCCAGGCAAAUCCGGAAAAUCAAGGCUGAGGCGUGAUGACGAGGCACUACGGUGCUGAAGCAACAAAUGCCCUGCUUCCAGGAAAAGCCUCUAAGCAUCAGGUAACAUCAAAUCGUACCCCAAACCGACACAGGUGGUCAGGUAGAGAAUACCAAGGCGCUUGAGAGAACUCGGGUGAAGGAACUAGGCAAAAUGGUGCCGUAACUUCGGGAGAAGGCACGCUGAUAUGUAGGUGAAGUCCCUCGCGGAUGGAGCUGAAAUCAGUCGAAGAUACCAGCUGGCUGCAACUGUUUAUUAAAAACACAGCACUGUGCAAACACGAAAGUGGACGUAUACGGUGUGACGCCUGCCCGGUGCCGGAAGGUUAAUUGAUGGGGUCAGCGCAAGCGAAGCUCUUGAUCGAAGCCCCGGUAAACGGCGGCCGUAACUAUAACGGUCCUAAGGUAGCGAAAUUCCUUGUCGGGUAAGUUCCGACCUGCACGAAUGGCGUAAUGAUGGCCAGGCUGUCUCCACCCGAGACUCAGUGAAAUUGAACUCGCUGUGAAGAUGCAGUGUACCCGCGGCAAGACGGAAAGACCCCGUGAACCUUUACUAUAGCUUGACACUGAACAUUGAGCCUUGAUGUGUAGGAUAGGUGGGAGGCUUUGAAGUGUGGACGCCAGUCUGCAUGGAGCCGACCUUGAAAUACCACCCUUUAAUGUUUGAUGUUCUAACGUUGACCCGUGAUCCGGGUUGCGGACAGUGUCUGGUGGGUAGUUUGACUGGGGCGGUCUCCUCCUAAAGAGUAACGGAGGAGCACGAAGGUUGGCUAAUCCUGGUCGGACAUCAGGAGGUUAGUGCAAUGGCAUAAGCCAGCUUGACUGCGAGCGUGACGGCGCGAGCAGGUGCGAAAGCAGGUCAUAGUGAUCCGGUGGUUCUGAAUGGAAGGGCCAUCGCUCAACGGAUAAAAGGUACUCCGGGGAUAACAGGCUGAUACCGCCCAAGAGUUCAUAUCGACGGCGGUGUUUGGCACCUCGAUGUCGGCUCAUCACAUCCUGGGGCUGAAGUAGGUCCCAAGGGUAUGGCUGUUCGCCAUUUAAAGUGGUACGCGAGCUGGGUUUAGAACGUCGUGAGACAGUUCGGUCCCUAUCUGCCGUGGGCGCUGGAGAACUGAGGGGGGCUGCUCCUAGUACGAGAGGACCGGAGUGGACGCAUCACUGGUGUUCGGGUUGUCAUGCCAAUGGCACUGCCCGGUAGCUAAAUGCGGAAGAGAUAAGUGCUGAAAGCAUCUAAGCACGAAACUUGCCCCGAGAUGAGUUCUCCCUGACUCCUUGAGAGUCCUGAAGGAACGUUGAAGACGACGACGUUGAUAGGCCGGGUGUGUAAGCGCAGCGAUGCGUUGAGCUAACCGGUACUAAUGAACCGUGAGGCUUAACCUUACAACGCCGAAGGUGUUU
rnacentral:rRNA from 1 species